rnacentral:rRNA from 1 species
AGUGAACGCUGGCGGUAGGCCUAACACAUGCAAGUCGAACGGCAGCACAGUAAGAGCUUGCUCUUACGGGUGGCGAGUGGCGGACGGGUGAGGAAUACAUCGGAAUCUACUUUUUCGUGGGGGAUAACGUAGGGAAACUUACGCUAAUACCGCAUACGACCUACGGGUGAAAGCAGGGGAUCUUCGGACCUUGCGCGAUUGAAUGAGCCGAUGUCGGAUUAGCUAGUUGGCGGGGUAAAGGCCCACAAAGGCGACGAUCCGUAGCUGGUCUGAGAGGAUGAUCAGCCACACUGGAACUGAGACACGGUCCAGACUCCUACGGGAGGCAGCAGUGGGGAAUAUUGGACAAUGGGCGCAAGCCUGAUCCAGCCAUACCGCGUGAGUGAAGAAGGCCUUCUGGUUGUAAAGCCCUUUUGUUGGGAAAGAAAAGCAGCAGGUUAAUACCCCGCUGUUCUGACGGUACCCAAAGAAUAAGCACCGGCUAACUUCGUG